rnacentral:lncRNA from 1 species
AGAAAUAAAUUUGAUGUUUUCAACAACAUGGCAGUUCUCAUAAACUAUAUAAAUUACCAAAAUUGAUAUAUUUGCAAUAGAAAAUUUACACCAACCAAUAUCUGUAGAAUAGAGUACACUUUUAUGAAGUCAGCAUUCCCUUUAUACCAAAGAAAAAGACACUUCAAGCAAACUAUAGACCAGUAUUCCUUAUGAACACUGAUACAGAAAUCCUCAAAAAAUUACUGGGAAACAGAAUUUGGCAGCAUAUUUAAAGGAUUAGACACCAUGACCAAGUGGAGUUUGCUCCUGCAAAGAAAGGCUGGUUCAACAUGGAAAUCAGUGUAAUAUGCCCAUCAACAGAAUGAAAAGGAAAAAGCCCACAUGAAUAUCUCAUUUGAUAGAGGAAAAGUACUUGACAAAAUUUAACACACUUUCCUGAAAAGCACUAAAAAAAAAAAAAAUAACAGUAGGAGGAAGCUACUUUAACAUAAUAAAAACCAUUUACAGAAAAACUCAGUGAAUAGCAUACUCAAUGGUGAACGACUAUGAGUAUUUCUUCUAAGAUCAGGAACAAGACAAGAAUACCCUCUUUAGAUCUAUUCAAGAUAGUACUGGAAGUGCUGGCCAGAGAAUUAGGCAAGAUAAAAAAAGUAAAAGGCAUCCAAAUUGGAAAGGAGAAAGUGAAAUCUCACUUUGCAUAUUACGUCAUCUAAUAUAUAGAAAACCAUAAAUAUUCCACAAAAACCUCAGAACUAAUUAAUUCAGCUAAGGAACAGGAUUCAAAUCAACAAAUUAAAAUCAAUUGCCCUUCUCUUCACUAACCAUGAACAGUUUGGAAAGAACACUACAAAAGCAAUUCUAUUUGAAAUUGCAUUAAAAUACUUAGUGAUUAACAUAGCCAAAAAGAUGAAAGACUUGCAAUGAAAACUACAAGGUCUUGUUGAAAGAAAUUAAAAGAAACAUCAGUAAGUGGAAACAUCCUAUAUUUCAUGGCUUGGAGGACUUCCUAUGCUGAAUUGCUGAUACCACCCAAAGUGACGUGCAUAUUCAGUGUAAUUCCUAUCCCCAGUGACUUUUUUUGUUUUCCAGAAAUAGGAAAAGCUGUUUUAAAAUUUACAUGAAAUCUCGAGGGACCCUAAAUAGCCGAAACAAUUCUGAAAAACAAGAACAAAGAGAUUUCAGAACUUAACACAAAGAUGCAAUAAUCCAAAAUAGUGUUGUAUUGACAUAAGGACAGACUUAUAAACUAAUAGAAGAGAGCCCAGAAAUAGAUUCUUAUAUAUGUGGUCAAAUGAUUUUUUACAGGGUGCUGAGACCAAUGGGGAAAUGUCAGUCUUUUAAGUGCAUGGUGCUGGGAAAACUGGAUAUCCCUAUGUAAAAGAAAGAAGUUGGACCCUACCUAAAACCAUAUCCAAAAAUUAAAUUGCAUCCAGAAUCUAAAUGUAAGACCUAAAAUAUAACAUUUUUAGAGGAAAAUAAAACCUUUAUAAGCAUUGGAUUUGGCAUUGACUUCUGGGAUGUGACACCAAAGACACAGGUAUCAAAAGUAAAAAUAGACAAGUUGAACUUCUUAAAAAUUUUUUUAAAAAUUAAUGCAUUUUUUAAAUUAAUGCAUUGUGGCUCAGUGGUAAUGAGCCCAACUAGUAUCCAAGAAUAUGUGGGUUUGCUCCCUGGCCUUGCUCAGUAGGUUGAGGAUCCAGCAUUGCCAUGAGUUAAGGUGCAGACACAGUUCAGAUCCUGCAUUGCUGUGGCUGUGGUGUAGGUGGGCAGCUACAGCUCAGAUUUGACCCAUAGCCUGGGAACUUGCACAUGCCAUGGGUGCAGCCCUAAAAAGACAAUAAAUAAAUAAAUAGAUAGAUAAAUAAAUAAAUAUGCAUUAGAAGACAUACUGCCAAUAAAGUAAAAAGGCAACCCAUGUAAUAUCUGAUGCUCAACAUCACUAAUUAUUAGGGAAAUGUGAAUCAUAACAAAAAUGAGAUACCACCUCACACCUAUUAGGAUGGGUACCAAAAAAAAAAAGACAAAAAGUGCUCAUAAUAAGGUUGUGGAAAAGAUGGUACCCAUGCUUCAGCAUGAUGCAUUAUUUAAUCUUCCUUUUUUUAAUUUUUUGCUUAAUAUUGCAUUGUAUAAAUAUACCACUUCGUUUAUCCAUUUAUCAGUUUGUGGAAAUAUAUGUUUUCAUUUUGGGGCUAUUGUAAAUAAUACUGCUAUGAAUAUAUGUUUCCACUUUGGGGCUGUUGUUAAUAAUGCUUCUGCAACUUUUUUCAAAGUAGCUCCAUUUUACAAUCCUACUAAUAAAUUAUGAUAUUAAUUUUUCCACAUCUCCCCCAACAAUUAUAUUAUUUGCUUUUUUUUUUAAAGUCAUCCUAGUGAAGUGAUAGCCCAUUUGCUUUUCCCUAAUAAGUAGUUAUGUAUUAUAUCUUUUCAUUAGCUUAUUAGCCAUUAGUAUAUUUUUUUGGAGAAAUAUCUAUUUGAAUUCUUUGGCUAUUUAUUGACUGAGUUCUUUUUAUUGUUGAGAAGUCAAAAUCCUUCAUAUAUUCUAGAUAAAAGUUCUUUAUCAGAUACAAGAUUUUACAAUAUUUUCACCAUUUGAUGGAUUACUUUUAAUUUUCUUGAUGUUCUUCAACACACAAAAGUUUUUAAUUUUUAUGAAGUCCAUUUUACCUGCUUUUUUCUUUCGCCACUUGUGCUUUUGGUGUCAUUUCUAAGGAAUCAUUGCCUUACCCAAUUAUGGAGAUUGAUUUCUAAAUUUUGUUCCAAGAAUUUUAUAUUUUUAGCUCUUAAAUUUUGUUGUAUCAUGCAAAAUUGGUAAUUGUUUUGUAUAUGGUAUGAAGUACAGGUCCAAAUUCAUUUCUUGGCAUGUUGAAUAUCCUGUUGUCUGAGCACUAUUUGUUGAAAAGACAACUCUUUCACCAUUGAGAAGUCAUGGCUUCCCUGUCAAAAAUAAGUCUAUGUAGAUGUAUGGGUUUAUUUCUCUACUCAUUGUAUUUCCAUUGAGUGAGAUGAAUGGAUAGAUGUAUGGAUGGAUAGAUGGAUGGAUAGAUAGAUAGAUAGGUAGAUAGAUAGAUAGAUAGACAGACAGACAGACAGACAGAUAAUCCUUAUAGUGGUACCAUACUGUCUUGAGUACUGUAGCUUUGUAGUUUAAGCUUUACAAUGGAGAAAGGUGAGUCUUCGAACUGUGUUCUUUAUUUUAAUGGUUGAUUUGACUGUUUUGGCUCUCUUGCAUUUCCUCAUGAAUGUUAGAGUCAUAUUGUGAAUUUCUGCUAACAAGCCAGUUGGGAUUUUGACAAGGACUAUGUUGAAUCUGUGAAUCAAUUUCAAGAGUGCUGCCGUGUUAACCUAUGAACAUAACAUACUUUUCCAUUUAUUUAGGUUUUGUUUAGUUCCUUUCAGCAAGGUUUUUGUAGUUUUUUGUGUACACAUCUUAUACCUGUUUUUUUAAAUUUAUUCAGUAUUUGUGAUGCAUUUGUAUAUGGAAUUGGUUUCCUAAUUUCAUGUUAUAUUAUUUAUUGCUAAUAUAUAGAAAUAGAAUUGUUUUUAUAAAUUGAUCCUGUAAACUUGCUGAACUUAAUUAUUACUUCUGAUAGUUUUGUGCAUUCCUUAAGAUAUUUUAAAUAGAGAUAUAUUUACAGUACCAUGUCACUUUCAGGUGUACAGCAGAAUAAUUCAGUUACGUGUGUAUUUUUCAGAUUAUUUUCUAUUAUAGGUUAUUGCGAGAUAUUGAAUAUAGUUCCCUGUGUUAAUCAUUAAAUCCUUGGUG